GGCGGCGUACCCAAAUGGCUAAGGGAGAAGUCUGCAAAACUUCGAUCAGCGGUUCAAUUCCGCUCGCCGCCUCCA
rnacentral:tRNA from 2 species